ACGAACCGUGCGAACGUUGUUCGGAAUCACUGGGCUUAAAGGGCGCGUAGGCGGUUGGUCAAGUCAGGGGUGAAAUCUUUCGGCUCAACCGGAAAACUGCCUUUGAUACUGACUGGCUGGAGGGAGAUAGGGGUUGCGGGAACUACCAGUGGAGCGGUGAAAUGCGUUGAUAUUGGUAGGAACGCCGGUGGCGAAAGCGCGCAACUGGAUCUCUUCUGACGCUGAGGCGCGAAAGCUAGGGGAGCAAACGGGA
rnacentral:rRNA from 1 species